rnacentral:lncRNA from 1 species
GGAUGACUUAAAUCGGAGAGGGAAAUCCCACCAGUGUUUGUACUUGCAGAGUAAAAUCCUGGCCCCCAAGCAGAAAACUCCCGUUGCUUUUGGGGUGGGUUUCUUCCUUCCAGCAGGUCAGGUUCUUAGAAGUGGUUGAUCUGUCUUGCUUCAGCUUCCAGCAAUCCUUAAAAACGAAGCUGUGCCUUUUCAGGGAGCACUGCCAGAGCUGCUUCUCAAACAUCAAUCCAGUCUGCUGGGACACCUGCAGUGGUCAGUAGUUAAUGGCUUAUUCCCAGUAAUAUCCAUCCCUAGGAAUUCCUUGGGAUUCCCUCCACGGUGGAAUUCACGCUCCUGGAAAUUAACACACAUUAAUUUCAGAGGCAGCUCUGUAGAAUGGGGAAUGCAGCAAAAAGAGCAAAAAGAGCAAAAAAACCCCUUAGCUCCGAGCUGAUUCAGGGGCUUCACCCCAGGUGGGUGCUGUGCCCAGCAAAAAUCCUGUUAUGCACAUUCAUCUAAUGUUCUGUCAGUGCCAGGGAGGUUUUCCCAGGCACAGCCAGGAGGGCAAUAAGGUUUAUUUCAAGAGUUCUCUCGGAAAUCCAGACUCACCUCGCUCUGUGCCGCAGCUCCUCUCCUCCCUUCUCUUUGCUCAGGUUCCCUGGGACAGCAGCAGCAGCAGCAGCAGCAGCAGCAGCCAGUUUGCAGAGCCUGUGUCUCCGCCUCACCCAGAGCCCUUUGAAGCAGAACCCAUCCCUCCUGUGCCCAGCUGCUGCCCACCCUGGCAGUUUUCCAGCUGCCUGUCCUGUGAGGAAAGCCCUGGAUACCUGGAGCAGCUGAUAGAUUCCUGCCUGCAGUCAGAUGCAGCCUCUGAGGCAGCCUUCAGUGCCUUCCAGCCAUCCCCACACUACACCCCAGACACCUUCCAGCCAGUCCAGCUCUGCUUCAACCAGGGCCUGGUGAGCUUUGGGAGCCAGGGGAGCAGCCACAGGUGUCCCCAGGGGGAGAGGGAGUCACCUCGUGGGGC